GGCGGCGGCAGGCGAACGGGCGGGCGCGCGGCCGCGGGUGCAGACCCUCCUCCUCCUCCGCCCCCCCGCAGCUCGGGCCCUGGUCGUGGCGCGGCUGCCGCACGGUGCCCCUCGACGCCCUCCGGACGCGCUGCCUCUGUGACCGGCUCUCCACCUUCGCCAUCUUAGCCCAGCUCAGCGCCGACGCGAACAUGGAAAAGGCAACCCUGCCGUCCGUGACGCUCAUCGUGGGCUGUGGCGUGUCCUCACUCACCCUGCUCAUGCUGGUCAUCAUCUACGUGUCUGUGUGGAGGUGGGUGCCCCCCAGGUGCUGGGCAUGGGCAGCCUUGGCACCUGUAUCCCACACCUCUUCCCCUUGAGGUCACGGGAGGGGUCUGGGUGCCCUUCCCUCCCUUUGUUCUCACCUCCCCAGUCACCUCUGCCUCUGCCACAGAGCCAGCUGGGCUGUGGCCCCUCCAAGGGUGCCCCACAUACUCAGCCGUGUCCAUGCUGCACAGAUGCAGGGGCGGGGCCAGGUGCUGCUGUCCUCCCUGAACAUGUUCCCUGGCGAUGCCAGCCUGCGUUCCCUCCCCCUCUGCCUGCACUCCCUCACUGCCCUGUCUGUCCUCAGAC